rnacentral:rRNA from 1 species
CCCUAGUAACUGCGAGUGAAGCGGGAAAAGCUCAAAUUUAAAAUCUGGUGGUCUUUGGCCAUCCGAGUUGUAAUUUAGAGAAGCGUCUUCCGCGCUGGACCGUGCACAAGUCUCCUGGAAUGGAGCGUCACAGAGGGUGAGAAUCCCGUCUUUGGCACGGACGUACCAGGGCUUUUGUGAUGCGCUCUCGAAGAGUCGAGUUGUUUGGGAAUGCAGCUCAAAAUGGGUGGUGAACUCCAUCUAAAGCUAAAUAUUGGCGAGAGACCGAUAGCGAACAAGUACCGUGAGGGAAAGAUGAAAAGCACUUUGGAAAGAGAGUGAAACAGUACGUGAAAUUGUUGAAAGGGAAACGCUUGAAGUCAGUCGCGUCGACCGAGACUCAGCCUUGCCUUGGCUUGGUGUACUUCUCGGCUGACGGGUCAGCAUCAAUUUUGCCCCUUGGAUAAUGGCGAGGGAAAUGUGACACCUUUACGGUGUGUUAUAGUCCCUCGUCGCAUGCAAGGGUCGGGAUUGAGGAACUCAGCACGCGCCUUUGGGUGUCGGGGCUUUGCCCACGAUACGUGCUUAGGAUGUUGGCGUAAUGGCUUUAAACGACCCGUCUUGAAACACGGACCAAGGAGUCUAACAUGCCUGCGAGUGUUCGGGUGGAAAACCCGUGCGCGCAAUGAAAGUGAAAGUUGGGACCUCUGUCGUGGAGGGCACCGACGCCCGGACCAGACCUUCUGUGACGGCUCUGCGGUAGAGCAUGUAUGUUA